GAUGAACGCUGGCGGCGUGCCUAAUACAUGCAAGUCGAGCGAACCACUUCGGUGGUGAGCGGCGAACGGGUGAGUAACACGUAGGUGAUCUGCCCAUCAGACGGGGACAACGAUUGGAAACGAUCGCUAAUACCGGAUAGGACGAAAGUUUAAAGGUGCUUCUGGCACCGCUGAUGGAUGAGCCUGCGGCGCAUUAGCUAGUUGGUAGGGUAAAGGCCUACCAAGGCGACGAUGCGUAGCCGACCUGAGAGGGUGACCGCCCACACUGGGACUGAGACACGGCCCAGACUCCUACGGGAGGCAGCAGUAGGGAAUCUUCGGCAAUGGGCGAAAGCCUGACCGAGCAACGCCGCGUGAAUGAUGAAGGCCUUCGGGUUGUAAAAUUCUGUUAUAAGGGAAGAACGACUUUAGUAGGAAAUGGCUAGAGUGUGACGGUACCUUAUGAGAAAGCCACGGCUAACUACGUGCCAGCCGCCGCCGUAAGAC
rnacentral:rRNA from 1 species